GGUGCUUACCUUUAUUGACUUAUCUGAUUUCUUAUCAACUUUGAGAAGCUGGAACUUUUUUCUCGAAUAUGCACUAGUGUUUGAGAAGCUGGAAAUUGCCCUCCGGCUUAUCUGAGGCUCUGACGGUUAUUUAAGGUAUUAUUAUCAAUGCAUUGUGUUUUCUCCGCUUAGUUCUAAUUCUCCAUGCUUUAUUUUAUUAUAUCGGAAAGCUUUCUCGUUUCAUUGCACAUACACACUGUCGUGGUAUUUUUCGUAUUUUGUAGGAUAGAUUUGGAUAUGAAUCUACCUACUCUGUGUGUUACUGGAUGAGUUGCUUGCUCGGUCUGUUGUUUCUAAAUAUGAGCACUGUUCUCUCUCGACAUCACGGCCUUGCCUUUUGCCCUGAAGACUGGAGUUCCACCUUUUUUCAUCUCUGGACUGGAUUAACUCUCGUGUUCUCCACACUGAGGGAGUAAAAGUGAAAAGAAAGGUAUCCUGCCCAAUAAAUCUUGGAUGCAAUUUCGAGCUUUGAAAUGCAAAUGAACUCUGCUUCUUCGAGCACUCUGCUCUGUUCCUGUUUCAGACUUUCCCUGGAGGCUUAUGAUGCCCUCUGUAUAUGCCUGCCGUUUCAUAUGCUGGUGUACAUCUCUACUGAAGAUGGCUAAGUCAAAAAU